AAGUAGUCGAAGGGACAGGGCUGAUGAACUGCGCUUAUUACCUUGACUUGGCGGUGAUGAGAAUGGUAUUGAUGAAAAGGCUGUGGUCGGCUUCAAAUGCAUUUGCUGCCGUCGUGAAGAUGGGGGACUGCGCUGGCAAGAAGUUGGGAUCCCUUAGCGCUUCGGUGCGAGGUCUCCAGCGAGGGGCUCAUCGUCUGGAGGCGAGCGCGGUUCAGGCCCUGAAAGCAAAGCGGUGAGACGCAUCCGCCGCCUGCAGCAGGUGGGAGCUGGAGAGCAUCAAAGGCGGCCCCGCUGCGAGGUACCUGCUGAAUCACGGACGGAGGGGCCUGCCGGAGGAGCGAGCCCACCUGCUUGCUACCGGGGAAACGCGGGGAAACCGCUUGUCCCUUCAUAAUGCUCCUUGUUGAUUCAUCUCGCCGUAACAUUUUGAACAGGUUGCUUGCUGCUCCAUCCAGCUUACUGUCUAACAGGGCAGGUCUACAGUCAAGUUGUCCUUAAUGAUACUCAAACAUCCUAAUAACUUUUGUCAAUUGAAUGCUGGAGUUGACUGGGACCAUCGCUACGUGUCCAGUAUGGAAAAGCAUUUCUAGAAUCCCAGGUGCCACCAGGACAGCUUUAAUGUGCUGAAAUGUAUAAGUAAAUAACUAUUGCUUCACAGAAGACUGCUCCACUAUGGUUUUCUUCUCAGAAAAGCUCCCUUAGCAUAAGAGACUACGCAUUUCAGGUUUCCCUAAGUAAUACACGUAUACCUUUUCCUGUAUUUUUUCCGCUACCUACCUUCACGUUCUGGUUGAAGGUCCCUCUACAUCAGCUGUGCGUUAGUAGCACAAGAGCUUGUCUUCAGCAAUGAAGCCAUUUCAUCACAUCUCAUUGCUGGUUCCCCAAAGACAGAUUUGCAGGGGAAAUUGGCAGAUCUAAUUGAUCUUUGUUUUGUCAAAUGGAUACUUAAAUGCGUGAAGAUUUGUCCACUCUGUGCCUGUUAUUAAAUUCCUUCAAGUUAAAAGGGAUUUUUUUUUUUUUCUUGGUAAAUGAAGGGGAGAGAACUAAGUGAACCAUCACUUCAAUUCAGAAGCAGCUGGAGCUGGGGAAGCAUGCUAACCACGGUGGCAGCCUUAGCGGGAAUUGUGUUAUAUUUUAAAGUGGAUUUAAAAGCCAAUAGUCAAACUGAGGUCCUCUAAGCCAUCAGUUUGGUAAAUUGUGCUGAUAUCGAUACGGUCCAGUAAAAGCACCGAAUCCUGGUCUUCCACAGAUGAAUAGACCUUUUUGUGUCUGUUUACCAGCCUGGCACCGCGUGUUUCCCAAGUGGGAGCGCAAAGAAUGCUGCUCUUGGCCAAGCUUUCUGUGCAGUGGGAUAACGGAAAGGUUCAGGACCCAGUUAUCAACCCAUUAUUAUCAGUGGAGUACCUAAUGCCAUGUAGUACUUUAAAUGGUGUGAAGCAGGUAGUGUUGUUCGUAGCAGCUCUCCUAAUAAGCAAGGGCUUCACGAUGGAGCUGAGCGCGGGUUUGUCUCCUGGCUCCAGGCUGCCCCACGUCACCCGGGGGCUGCCGCGGGUCCAGGCUCAGCCCCGGGGGCUCUCGCGGUGCCGCCUGGGCUCUCACGCAGAGAGGGAAAGAGCUCGUCCGGGGACGCGCCUCUGGGCGCCGUUUAGGAGGAAGGACUGGCUCUGCCCGCUCUGCGAGAGCAGUUCUCUUAAGCCUUGCCUGUGUGUUGGUUCACGUGAGCGGCUUAGGCUUAAGCCUUUACUCACUGGCUAUUAAAAGCUUGGUAGCAUUUGAAAAUAUGGCCGUGUCUUCUGCAGGGGAAAGCAGCUCGGUCCUGAUCCUUCCCGCUACUCCUUGGUGACUCCUGCUACCCCUCCCUGUUAUUCCUGCUGGAGAAUAUCGAGGCAUUCUGUCAAAAGGGAUAGUUACAUUUGCUGCUUAAUGUUACGAUUGCUGCUGCCUAAGGAAAAGGUGCAAAUGUUUAAAUCUGCCUUUCGAAGCAUGAGAACUAGAGGGAGCGCCGUUGCCCAGCCUAAGCAAGAGCAGGUACAUCGCUCUGAGCUACAGGAACUUACUCAGCAGUGUCUGGACAGACUAGCCAUUUUUUGGACCGAAGCUUAAUAUUCCACAUGUAAAUCCUUGCCAGGAGGGAUGGAUCUUGUACCGAGUUUCUUGGCGACAUUCACCUACCCUCAGUGAAGUCUCCAAAAGCUGUUCAUGAGGAUAUCACACAGGAGAGGGUUCAAAUUUCUGAGAGACAGACUUGUAUAUGUUGCUGUGGAGAACACAGGCAGCCAGUACGGAUGUCUAAAAUACCUGCCUAUAUGCUGAGGGAGGUGGAGAACAAUAUAGCACCCCCAUAAAGUAAUGCCCAUGUUAUUCUGGCAUAGCCAUCUAAUUUAUGGGUUGCCUUAGAGUAUUCACAGAGAGGUGCAGGUGGUUUUUUUCCUAUUUUUCUAACUUUUUUUGGGGGGUAGAAUUAGUAUUCACUGAAUUGACGUAUAUACAUUUUUGUACUUUCCGUUGCCUAGGGCUAUUGCACUUCAGUCUUUGAUCUUCUCAGAUCUUGCAAACUCAGCUGGUUGGAGGUUGGCCCGUACUUGGAUGAGAGAAUUUCAUGAUGCUGUGAGGAAUUGUUUGUGACUGAAGAUGGCACUUUCUGCAAGUCUUUGCUGAAACUGAAGUUCUUGAUUAAUGAUCUACAGGAGUUCAGGCUGAAGAAAUCUGCUUUGGCAAGCGCAGGGAUGCAGUGGCUUGUAUGUACGAGCGACCCUAGCUGGGAUGGGGAAUAUAAACCGUACAAACACACCUGGGCAGGACAAGGGCCGCUCACUGCUGAGCAAAAACACCGCUCCUGCCCCAGGUUUAUAUGGAAAUGUGUCAGAGGCAACCUUCCUUAUACCGAACGUCUGCGCCCAGUCACCCCUUUGUGGCAGCAUCAGGGAAAAAACGGAUGGAUGUUACCAGUUGCCUAGGUGGCUGGGAAGCAAUUUCAAGCAACAGGGAAGUUCUGGGCCGGUAGCCCUCAUCGCUUCGUUUCAGGCUGGAGAGUCCAGAAGUGCAAAACAACUGUGAAAUUGGUAGCACACACCGCAUCUCCAGGACUGAACGGCUGGGAGGGUGUAACUCCAUUUCCAAUCCAGCUUUGCAGCUGCUGUUAGGAAUGCAACAGGAACAUGGGGUGACUAGCCUCACCAGCCAGAGAGUAAGAGACAAAAGGCACCUGAAAUCAGAGGGAGAAGAAGAUCCUGCCUCGUGUGGCUGAAUUGGGGAUGGGAAAAGCAUGCUUUCUUGGGGCUCUUCUUUAACAAUUAACAGCGUUAACAACGUUCUUAAUAUUGUGUCAGCCGCACAGUCAUUAUUCAGAUUUGGUGCCGGGGCUAUAAUUGAAACCAUCUGUUUGAACCCAGCUUUUCUGCUCCGGCUUGGUGGAGCCGCCAUCCCCUGCUCCUCGCUAUCAAGCAGAGACCCGAGGGCUGCUUUUCCGGAAAGCGUUGCCUGAGAUGCUGAGCAAGUUGUGUGGCUCCGCGGGGUGGAGGAGUCGCUGCGAAUCUGUCGGGGGGGAGGACUGCGUCUUGCAGAUGAAACGGAGACACGUGGUGUUCCUUCAUCAGGUGAUCAAAUGUUCAUCUCAUUAGAAAGAACCAACUGUAGGGGGUAAAAGGACAGCGUUCGCCCUCAGGGACAGAAAUCAGGUGUACCUCCUGGAAGACCAGGAUAAGGUCUCUGGAGAAGACAAAAACACGGAGCCAGUGCUGUGGAAUAGUUUGGAGGGAGAGAGACAGGAUGCAGAAGAGUGGAAAACACCGUCAAAAUUGUGUUCGCAUUAUGAGUGAAGGCAGCAUAGAAAGGAUGACAUCCAAAGAAGGGAAGUGAAAUGAAUGCCAUUGUCAUUUAGGCUGGUGUGAGACGUUGCAGUACUAACCGCAAGUAGAUACCCCCAACCAGUAUCUGCCGCCUCCUCCUCCCCUUCUCUUCCACACACGCUCCUGCUUUCAACACCACGAGGCAGUUCUCAGGAGCGAGGCACGUGGAGGAGCACGGGUCAUCUUGCAGCCUCUUUCGGCACAGUUAUCUGUUCUCAGAAUGGGAGAUGCUGCUUUGAUUAAAGUGCCAAAUGAUUCUCGCUCACAUUACAAUGAAAUGUGACCACUGCUUACCACGGAAUGGGAGGUUUUUGUCACCUCUCCCCUCCCGUCUCUAAUAGCAAUGUCUAUCUGCUGCAUGCUGGAUAAUGUGAAUGUCUACUCACAUUUCAGUUACAGUGCGAUGACUCGUGCUUGGCAGAUCUCAUUAUGUCAUAUAUCACCCAGUCUAAAAUUUACAUAGGCUUGGAUUAAAAGCCAUUAGGCGGAAGUCUUCCACUCCAUGUGCUUUCAGGUAAGCAAUCCCCUCUCCUUACGACUCUCUAGUCUAUGAAAUGUAAUCUAAUACCAGAAAAUUGCAGAAAUGUAACAGAAUCCAAUCAACGUAAUCAGGGUUGUCAAAGGCUGUGAUUGGAAAUCAUAACCUGGAUGUCCACAGAGCAGAUGAGUCACAGCCGCUGUGAAACCACUGUCUUGGUGGUUUUAGACCUUUAAAGUCAAUAUUCUUUCUCCUCGUGAAAUGUCAUUAUCCCCGAAGUGAUGCUCUCCUGUUUUUAAAGCCUGCGUUAGUAGCUGAAUAGCGGCACAGACACCGACAAAAUGAACAUACACCUAAUGAAAAUCCAUAACAGAUUUUCACGUAGUUAGAUUUCUUCUCGAUUGUUACCUCACGACGUUGUUACUCUCCUCCUGUACGGAGAGGCACGGUGCCAGAGGUCUGCAAAGUCCUCUGGGCGUAGCCUCCAGAGGGCACGUUUGAACAGCAGAGGCGGUCUGAGCCCGGUGAGCAAACUGUGUGUGCGUCCGUCCUUGCAAAAUCGGAGCAUAUGGUGAGCAAUGGGUGCCUAAUGAGAGCCGCUCCGGGGAACUUCCAUUGCGUGACCCAGGUACCUGAGCACGAUAAUCCAACAGAUAACAAAAAGCUAUUCUCCAUCACCUGCUGCUUCUAAUAUGACCCGACUUAAAUAACCUGGGGGUGAGAAGCUGGCCCAUCCCUUGCAGGGAUGAGCUUUGUCGUUUGGUCAUUUUUAGACAACAAACUAAAAAAUGCUGGUUUUUUUCUGGUGUUAAAAAAAGAUCUGUCAGUCACCAAAGGAAUAUUCCUAUUGGUUUAACAUCAGACUUCUCGCUUCCAUUGAAUUCUUAUGGGAAAGAGCUGGAGGCUCUGCAAGGAAAGCAAGCAUUAAGCCGCUACUGGCUGCCAGGUAGCCUUCGUCUGAAAGGGGGAACCAGGAACUCAGUUUUGUUUUCACAAACUAUAUUUUAUGGGACCACAUACAAGUUCUGGAAAAGUAAGCUUCUCUUAAGUACGUAAUCAGCAUCCUAAUUCCAUGUACGUUCUUGUAAUAGGAUCUUGCUGCAGGGAUUUCCAUUAACCGUAUUUGCAACACCUUUUCCAUAAUACUUCAAACUAAAUUCUGCCUGUGCGCCAGUCCAUCACUGAGGAAGACCAGAAAGAGGGUUAUUAUGUAGAAAAUGUCUUGUAGGUUCUAUACAUAAAUGCUUUUUGCAUGUAUUUGCAGGGAUAUUGUGGAAAACGCAGAACCGGGUGGACAAAGACUGGAAAAAUGAGACUGGUUUUAACCAUGGUGGACAAAUGGCUUGAGACAGGUCUGUAGAUUGACUUGUUUAGGCAGCAAAACCGGACGAGUGCUCAGGCACAGAAGCCUGCCUUCAGGGGUGGGAUUGAAACAAACUGCAAGGACUAUGGACUGAAAGUCAGAUCGAUUCUUCUCUUUGGGCUAGGCAAAGCUGACGAGUACCCCGGUACAUGGGAAGGAACAAGAUACCAAACUUUUAAUUAGUGGCCACAGUUUUGGGCCGUAGCCCAGGAAUUUUAUCAGUGGAGCAGCACACCUUGAUGUUAGGGACGAGGCAUCCCCUCCCCUGCUGCGGUACCUCGAUAGCCAACGUCGGCUGCGGUUGAGGGACCGACUGCUGCUUUCACACGCCUGAGAUGUAUCAGAUGGUGUGACUGAAGGUUUAACAUCAUUUCGGGUUUAUGUACGGACGCAUAUGUGUGCGCGUGUAUGCACACAGGGAUACACGAGCAGAACAAUGUUUCGUAUUUCUCAGUGGGACAGAUGGGAGAAGGAGCAACAGUGAGCUACUGGAAACCAUCCAAACCUUUAAGUGAGAAGUGAGCUGAAGAAAGAACGUUUCUGAAAAUGUAUUUGUUCCUUAGUGGAUAAAAUGUACUCAUUACUGGUGAGUUCCCAUGCAUCAGUUAGUAUAGGCUUUAAUUAAAUUAUCCCCGACUGAUAUAAAGUCAUAGUGUCUCAGACAGCAACAGAGGCUCGUGUCACACAAUAGGCGUCUCGACAAGCUGUGUGGGGACCAUCACUGUGCUCUGCAGACCAGUAGGUCCAGUCCCUGACGGACCAGCAGAACUGGACUCAGAAGUUUCUGCGUCCAAGGUACCAACCAAGACUCGGCUGCCUGCUGCUCCGGGCCGAAAAGCGCAUCCCGGAAAGCUGGUCUCAGAAACGGAGCCCGAACUGUGCUCCCAGUUUCAGCUGUGCCAGGAACAGCAGUGUGUAGCUCUGGAUUUACACCAGUGAAACAGAAAAACUGCUGGUUUUCAAACCCUGCAAAGACUACGGGGGCUCUGCCGAUCCGCACCCGUGCUGCGGCUGCCCGUGCGAACGGGUCGGUAAGCAGGGCUGUCUGCGGCGCGAGGCUACAGAGAGAAGGCAGUUACCUUUCAGGUGGGGAGUUCCUCCUGGUCGGCAGCUGCAUUAUUGACUGCAAGUUCUUCCCGAAUACUACAAUUUAAAAAAAAGUUAUUAUUUCAAUUUGUUACAGCACAGAGAGUAAGAGCAAAGCUGGUCCCAUGCUGCUCUCCAUGCCCUGAGGGUACCUGACCAGCCCCCCCGGGGGCCCCCACUGCUGCCCAUGUCCUUGUGGCCCCAUUUCAGCCUGGGGCCAUCGGUCCCCGCCCCAGCAAUGCCGUAGGAUGCCGAUCGCCGUGCAGGUAGGAGAAGAGCAGUCUGCUGAGUGGGGAACCGUGUGCCUGCAGGCGUCUCCUCCUCGACUCAGACGUCGUUGGUGCCCACCCCUGGUCUGGUGCAGGAGCAUUUAGCAAUCGGCAUGGAAACCGGACCUCUUCCAGCACCGCGGGGCUCCAGGGCUGAGCGGGGACGAGCUCUCGCUGGGGCUGGGCAGCGCUGCUGGCAUCGCCAUGCAUCUUCCAGAGGACGUCGGGGUCUUCCCUACCCAUCACAGACGGCCGCCUAGAGAAGGUAUGAUAGAAUUCGGAUAAAAUUUUAGAAGAGACUAUGCUAACCAACAUGUAAGGUUUCUAUUGCUUUUUUUUUAACCUAAUAUCUGAGAUUGUUUGUGAAUUAACACAGGACUUACAGUAGUUAUUGAACUUAGCUUAAUCAGUCACUGCACACAGAGCUUUGCUUCUACCUUUACUUAAAGCAGUGUGCUAAACCACAAGGGCCCUUUAAUAACGUGGUCAAUGCCCAUGACCACAGGCACUGUCACAAACCUUGUCUCCAAAGAGUCCCCCAAGGAACGUCGUUUCGACAUAGGAGUUUCCCGGAUUUGAUGGAAUCCGUGGUCAAACAAAAAAAAUCGCAGGUUUCGGUUCACUUUAGCGCGGGGGGAAAGGAGGUGUGCGCACACAGCCACAGGGGACAGCGCUGGGGUAACGGAGCCUUCUACCAGUAAAACCAGCCACCGGCUGUCUCUCUAGACUGGUAUUAGUAAUUCCGCCAGUAGCCGAUCAUUAAACCCGUCGCUCCCCUCUUUGCCCUUCGCUCCUGUUUGCUCAGCGGCAGCAGGACCCGGUUCUGCUGUGACUGACCAGCUCCGGCCCCGCUACGGCCAGAGACGCGGUCUCCUCUCCAGGCGUCUCCUCCGCCGCUUAGAGCUUUCUUCUAGAGGACCAGGAGGUCACGGACGAGAUGCGACACAAGGUAUUUGCUCAGGUACAAUGGGUUUAGGGGGGAAGAGUUUAAGGAGGGUUUUUUCCAGCUGAUUAAUUUUUAUUUUCGGUGCAUUUUUUUUUUUCACUAAUUCAUUGUUCUUUUAGACUUAAGAAAAAGGUAUAUUCGUAUCUGCAACAAUUAAAACUGGCUUUGUCCUUUCACUAGACCCCACUUUCUAGAUUCUCCAUCUAUCCACUCAAGCUUAAGGUCUGAAGGUUACAACAGAAACCCUUACCGGUGCACCCUAUCGCCAACCAUCGAAUCACACACCAAGUUUCCGAAGCUAUAGCCGUGCUAAGAACGCUUGAUUAUUAAUAAUUAUGCUCCAGCCAACGUGCAAUGCUUUUCAUUUUCAUUGUGCUGUACGUACCUUAGCUAAUAAAUCUCCGCAAUAUCCCAGCGAGAGUGGUAAGUGCUGUUAUUCUCGUUUUAUGGACGGCAAAAUGAGAAACAGAGAGGUUAAUAGCAAGUCUAAUUGGACAAUAAUUACCCACUUACCACGCUGGAAAUUAAGAAACAAUCCUCCCAUUGUCAUUACACCAGCAGAACAAGGGGAGAGCAGUGUUCACGUUCUCCCUAUCCCACCGUUUAGCCAAAGAGCUUACAUGGAAAUGAAAGCAAAGGGAGUGCAAGAGCAGAUAAAUAAACUCUUCUUUUUCUUUUGUUUAACAUCUCUUUUCCAUCACUGAGUCACUUCAGGAUAGAAGAAAAUUAUUAAAUUUCCUCUGAAAUCUGUUAGGGGAUGAUUUAAAACAAAGUCAAGCCCCAUUUGUAAAAUGUAUAUUUUGGAAAAGAAAUUGAAGAAAUGGGUUUUAAUUACUGCUAUGGGCUGGUUUCACUUAAUUUUUCUGAGGAGUAAAAAGAAGCGCGGCAUAAAACUCCCCAUCUUAGGAGAAGCAAUGGGAAAGCCAGGAAAGCCAGAAUUCCCGUGACGGGUGCGCCCGUUGCUGUGUGUCGGUGGAGGGGCUGUCCUCAUCCCUCCCAGCCCCUGCUCCCGGAGCUGCAACGCAGAUUUGGAGCCGGACGCCUACGCUCGUAGCGUGCCUCGCAGCCCCGCUCGUCGGCUGAUACGCUCGGUGCUGCCUGGCUUGAGCCUUUUGCCCGCGGGCAUGCCGCGACGCGCAGGGAGCCUUUCCCACUCCUUCCUUUCGGAGAAUAAAUGUCAGCGUAAUUGUCUUAAACCACGAAUAGGUGACACGAGCCUUUGGGACUUCUCCGGUCCUGGUGUCCGCAUUUAAAGGCAGACCUAGGAGCGUGAAAAACAGUAAGGAAAUAGGCUGAGCUUUACCAGAAAGCACCUGCCAGCUGAAACUAUGCCCGAGAACAUCAGGUCGGGCAUACUGAGGGAAUAUUACACGCUCUGACAGGGCUUUGCUCUUAUCUGAGGCCCCAAAUGGGCGACAGUAACAUCCCAAACCGCAAAGCAGAGCAUGCGUGUCAUAUUAACGAUUCCCCUGCCCGCCCCCGAGAAAAGGUUGCUGGGCUGGGGCUUUACGGCAGCAUCUCCACCUGGGCCUGUCCCCCGCGCCUCCUGCCGAGCUCUGACGGCUGGCGCCUCGUGGAUAGGCAGAUAAGCGCACCCCCAGCCAUCACCCUUCCUCUGUAAGGAUUUAUCCCCUACUAAAACUGGGGCGUGGGGGAGGACUCAUGCAUUAAUCAAAUUGAUUUUCCUGUUUGCUAAUCUCAGAAUUUACAUCUUUCCUUUCCCGUGUGUCAAAAUUCUCCAAACAAGCACCGCUACCAGGUAACAGACCCGCAGCUUGCUUAAAAGAAAGGAAAGAAAAAAGUCCACCAAAGGUCCGGGACCCGAUUCCUAACUCUCACCGACUGGGUUAACCAGCUUCUAUUUUUCUCUUGCUUGUAUGAGCACAGCCAAGAGCUGCGCCGGGGGCGGUAGCGUAAUGAUGUCAGCGUUAACAUUCCCAAAAAAACCCCAGAUUCGGUGACGACGGCCCUGACUACAAGAACGGUUUUACUUUCCUUCAGAGCUGCUAAUGUUCCUGAAACUGGCUGUAAGUCUUGGAAUUGCGGCACUUCGGCCCUGUGACCCCCUGGCAGAGAAACGCGCUGCCCCACGGAAGCGCCGCUGCUCUGCACCCCCUGCCUCCCAGCACCCGCGGGCAGAGCAGGGUCCGGAGCAAAGGGCUGAGGGUUUGCCUUCUGCUGCGUACGGGAACUCUUCAGGAGGCUACCGGGACUUUGGGGGUGUUGUGUUGGGCUUGCCGGGACAUGGUGUGGUGCGAAAGAGCAACGCGCUCUGCCUAAAACCGCCCCGCGCUGACAGGCUGGCGGCUCCUUUGACCUUCUUCUGUCUCUGUGUAUUUGCAUCUCAGAAAAAUGGUGGGGGUCUGUAACUUGUCUUUGCAUUCCCUCAUUUAAGGGGAAGAUGCUAAAAGAGUUGCUAUAGCCUUCAAGCGAGUUCGCAGCUGACGCAUUAUGUGGGUUUCAGUUAAAUCGAGGCACAAAAUAGCUGCUCAGAGUCAGAGGCUGAGUGAGGGCUCAGCCACGCAGUUGCCUCAUGAUGAGCUGUCAGGCCUGGGCGCUGUUGGAAUUACAAAUUUCCAAGCUUUUGGUGGAACUGGAUUUUGCCAGGAGAAUGAAUCUUUAAGAUUUUAAUAGUAGUGAACUUUAGUGAUAGGAUAAUGAUAUAUUAUUAUUAAGUGGUAACAGAGCACGGUACUCUCUGGUUGUAUAUUUGCAUGGUCCCUACUUCUUUUACUGGAGCACAAGAUGUUUUGUCUCAAAAGUGAUGGUGACUUGGUGAUGAGACUGAGAUAAGGAGUAGCAACUAAUGCUAUACGCGUGAAAAUGGCAGGCUAGAAGCUUGCUUCUGUAGUAGUGUUUCAGAAUAAAUUACCAGAAAAUGUAAAAGCUUUGUCUCCUUUCCAAAGGAAAUCCAUUUUUACCUGUAAUUACUGCGUUUUGUAUUAAGACCCUUUAAAUGAGUUUUUAAUUGGAAAAAAAUGGUGGAAAGGAUACUUCUGCUUUUCUUAAAAUCAGUCCUGCGAGAGCCAGACCCUGCUCCGUGGGGAAGGGGCCGAGGUGGCCGGCGACGCGGGUGUGCGGGGCGGCUGCAGGGGGGACACAGGGAAAAGACCAGUUUGUUCAUAGGCUUAAAAAAGGAGGCAUCCCCGCGUGCGCCUGCACCAUUUAACGCAGGCAGCUGCUGGACCAGGGCAGCUUGUGAGGAGCCAGGCUGCUUGGUCCGGAGCUGGGUUAACCUCUCCCGGGUCACUGGGAGGUGACUGGAAAACGCCUUGGAAAAUUGCGCAGUUCUAACUUGGGAUUCUCCUUUGGCUUUGCGCCUCGUGCUGUGACUCUGGACUACACGUGACACUGCUGUGCCCCUUCCCCUCCUAAAUCAGAGCCCAGCAGCGCUUUCGGAAGAGGGGAGAUAGCAGUGGGAAAGCACCUCUGCCGAGGGCAGGGCUGGCACCUUAGUGCAGGGCUGUGUUCUUACUGGUUUUGGGGGACUGCUUUAAUACCCUUCCUAAAUGCAGCGGUAAGAAUACCUGUGAGAUGGACCACUGCUCUCCGAGUCACCCCGUAUGUAACUGCACCUCAUCAUUCUCACACGUGCUGGGCUGCUUAGCCUUUAUUUUCCCUUCUACUCCCAUCAGAGCAUCUGCCAACUGCCCCUUUAAUGGAGGUUUUAGGAAAUCUAAAAUUCACAGCACUUGGUUGUCGAUGGUCCAUUGUGAAACGUAGUAACUUGUGAUUUUUUUUUUUUGCACUGACCUCUGAUUUAAUACCCUGGAUAUUAGGGAAGCGAAGUGAGUUCUCCACAAAGCCAGUUCCUCAGCAGAGGUCAGUGCCAGGGCAAGUGGGCAGCUUCCACUUCCAGUAGCAUCGCUCGAUUUAGAAAUACCUUUCCGUUUUAGGGGGUGCAUAUCCACGUGGGCCUGGGCACCUCUUCCUAAAAAUUGUGGUUUACGUAACGACAUACAACAGUGCUUCAACCGGUUGCCAGAACACGCCCUUAAAAUUGGUCUGGUGGUGUGAGUUCUUACGCAAACAGCUGCAAACAUCUGGAGCCAUGUGGUCAUCUGUUCACAGCCCGGGGACCAGGUUUCGUUAAAGGAAGUUUUUCUUUUCUGUGGUUUAUAUAGAGACUGCACUGAAGGAGAAACUGUACUGCUUAGUGGGUUUAGUCUGUAUAACGAUUAGUGCUCAACAAAAACAAUAGAAAUGUUUUUAAAAAUGGAUUAGCUGAUGGCCAAAGACCUAGCACAGCUGACAAAAAACGUUGGUUAGGUUGGUUUUAAUGGGCGCUUCCUUUUUGUGGACGUUCAGGGCGUUGAUUUUGAACUCUGGCUUGUUUCUUGUCUGUCUUCAUUAACCGCCUUCUGUUUGACGCGCAGGAAUUUCGCUUUUUCCACGUUAAACUGAUUCACAUUUCGUUUACUGCACAUUCCCAUAUGUCUGUGUAUAUACAUAUGCAAUACUUGUGAGCAUGCCAGUUCACACACGCUGAUGUUUAAUCAAUAAAUAGAAGGCUAUAUAUACCAGCGUUAAUUAUCUAGAUCUGAGCAGUGAAAUUGAAUAUUGAAUGAAAUUGCUUUGCUCCUUAUCGCCACGCAAGAAGAGAAAAAACCUGUGCAAAACAUAACGGUAGGCACGCCUGUGCCCGUGCUCGUACAAGAGCGUGCCUGCUCUGUGGUGAGCUUUCGGCAGAAGUUCUCUCUUAAUGCUUUCGUUCUGAAUGUUUGCUCUUACUCCUACCAGGUACGACAGACCAUUAUACCGAUGACAGUCACUGUUUUAAUUUAAUAUUCUGAAUAGUAGGUCUCCAGUCACUUGAUUCAGAAGAAAAAUUUUUCUUCCAAGCCAGCAUUUCAAAAGCUGUUUUGGUAUAAACUGGAACUCAAAUUUUCGUGUUAUGAAUGAAAGAAAACCAUAAGCUAUAUUGGAGGAAAUGGUUUAUUUUAUUUUUGGGCUAGCAUUUGAAUUUAAGUCAUCUUCCUGUUUCCAGUUUUUAAGCCAAAAUACCUGUUUGGAAGAUGGCACUUAAAAAUCAAUAUGUAAUGAAAAGCACCGAUUUAAGAUUCCCAUGGGAAAUGACAAAUUCAGCUUGAAUUUUUGCUUCAGUAGGUGAGCGUAGGGGCUUCUGCACAUAACAAAUGUGAGCCAGGGCCAGCCUCCGCAGACGGGGAAGCACUCCAGUAAAUCAUUUAUUCAUUUGGAGGUGAUGUGACAGCAAAACGGUCUUAAUGAUUUUCUUCAGUGACUCCACUUAAUCCAUAAUGGAAUAGAUUGGAGGAACCUGAUCUCGGGCACAUCUGGCUAUUUAAUGGACUGCAGCUAAAUGACAGGGCUUGUGUCUUCUGCCAGGGCUUGCCUCUCCGGCGCUGCUGGAGCGUGGGGUCUGGGGGUGCGGGAGCGCGGGCGGCAGCUGCCGAUGCCGCUCCUCGGCCUCGGGGGUGGAGGGGAUGUCCUUCCACCCCCUGCGGGGCAGGAGGUGGACGUGGUCCAGCCCUGUGGUCAGGCUCUGCGGUGGGGGGCCUCCACUGAGAACGCGGUGUCCAACGUGGUAGACACGUGGAGCGUUGAGGUGCAACUCAAAAUAUUGAGCUUUAAGGAGCUCUACCGGGCACAUCGUGACCCACCUUUGUCAGAAACAUAGAAUCAUAGAACAGUUUGCUUUGGAAGAAACCUUAGAGGCCAUCUAGUCCAACCCCCCUGCCACGGGCAGGGACACCUUCCACCAGACCAGGUUGGCCUUGAACACCCCCAGGGAUGGGGCAUCCCCAGCUUCUCUGGGCAACCUGUGCCAGUGACUCACCACCCUCAGAGUGAGGAAUUUAUUCCUCAUCUCAUCUAAAUCUGCCCUUUUUCAUUUUAAAACCAUUACCUCUUGUCAUACAUGUAAGGGAAGAGUCAAUAACAGUGGUUAUAAAAAUUCAGGCACUCUAACUAUUGUAGAGUUUAAAAAAAAACUUCAUCUCUGAAGUAAUUUUAAAAUGUAGGUCAAGUCCUAAAGCCUCCUUUUAAACCCUAAAUGCUUUCUAAAAGUUUUACCUGAAGGUAUUGGUCUGUCAGUCUCCCAGAAUGGGCAGGAAUAGUCGCACAGAGGUAGAAAUAAAUGGCUGCCUGUGCAACUUAGAGGUUUGGUACGGUACUGACAAAACUAAAGCACCAGGGUAACUUUGCCUAAACAGUCCUAUUUCUGUAGGUGUUUGUGAUCAGUACCACAUAACUUAUUGUGGAAUGAAACUUAGGAAAUUCAAAAGAAACAUAAUAAUAUUUUCCAGAUUUUUUCCAAAAAAUCCACAACGUCCAGUAUAAAAUCAGCCUCUUUAUCCAGUUGUGAAUCCUGUAGCACAAAUGCAACUUUUGAUUGCAUUCUAUAAGGCGAUCAAGAAAUCUGCAAAAAUCUAUUAUUUGCAGUUAAAUUCUGUAGAACCCUUCCAUAAAUACAUUAAUUGUGGGCUCAGGAAGGAGAUCAGCCCUUUGAUGCAGCAUUUUUUUAUGCGAAUGCUCCUCCUAAUAAAAAAUGAUGGCAAAGAAAAAUAGAUUUUUUUUGUCAUGGGUGGAAUUGUUCUUUUUUUUUUUUUUUAAUGCACUCCAGAUAUUUCUAUAAAGCAUCAUCUGCUCUUUAAAUACAUAUUAUAGAACAUCAAUGAAAGUUGAUGCUUUUUUGUCAAUAAGUAAAAUAUUAGAACUAAUGAUCUGACCUGUUUCUUAUUUAGCUAUUGAUUCUGCCCCUCUUGUUUUGUUUUUCUGAAAAAAUGCCAAGUUAGGGAUUUGGUUUUAGAAUCAGACAGAACGGCCCAGGUUGGAAAGGACCUCAAAGCAUCCGUCUGGUCCAUCCUUUUGUGGGAAAGGGAGCCUAGCCAAGGUUAUUAAUGAUUCUAUGAGCAUCCCGCACCCUGCCCAGUCAUCCUGAAAGCCUCCAGCUGGGGACCCCGCCAUCUCCCUGGGGAGGUCGUUCCAGUGACUGAUCGUGCUCAUGGAAAAACAAUAUUCUUUCUUCAACUGAGAUGAAAUUUCUCCCGGUGCAUCCUGUACCCGUUGCCCCUUGUCUUCUCCAUGUGGCCGCAUGGUUUUCGUUUCUAAAAAUGUUGAUGAAACGUUUAAAAGCUGUUUCAGCUCCCUCUUCUUCAUCCAAGUAAUUAUUCUGGCUAUUUUUCUGAGCCAAAACCUAACAGAGUUUAUUCUGGUCAGCUGUAAACAAAGCAGUGUGUUUCUGUUCAUCAAAUUAUUUUGUUUUUAUCUGGAAGUCGGGAUGAAAGACACUGGCUGAGCACCUGAGGCAAGUGGGGACUGACUAACAGCGCCCAGUGCCCCCCUGUACCCUCCCUAGUACUCUGGCAGCCGCCCUGCCUUUCCUCCGUGGACCUUCUUCCCUCUUCGUGGUGUGUUAAAAGACACACUUUUUGUUAAAACUGGAUUUCUGGCGAGUAUGCCUAGUUCAGGAAAAGGUCACCUGGCUGUAAUUUUAUACCAGGGUCUGCUGCUGUGUUGAGGCUGCGUGGCCGGGGCGCGCGGCUCCCGCACAGGGGGCGGCUGGACGUGGAGGUGGCCCACGCCGUGCCGGCCCGUGGCCGCUGCCCCGCUGCUGCCCUCCCCCUCCGCAGUCGGAGGGGUUUGGCUCGGCGCCGGUUCCCGUUCUGAUGGGUGAAUCCAAUUAUUCUUAAAUCGGCUUGUGCGACUCAAUCUGUUCGGUAGGGUGCUGAAAAGGUAGGGGCUUCUACUUAUUUUAUUCACAUUGAUGUUGGUUUUAGUGGAAAAACGGUAGUUUCGAUGUAUGGAUUUUAAUUAAGACUGAAAAUAGCCUCUCAAAGACAUAACUAAGAUUGGAUGGAAAAAGUAAUUUUUGUAUGAGUCCGAACUGCCUGUUUCACUAAUGUGGAUGAUUAAAAAUUGAACUGGAGACUGAAGAUACUAGAUUAAAUAAACAAUAGAGCAUUUUAAGUUCUAUUCGGUGCUUUUGCGAGUAAAUUAAAUGAGUGGCUGGCACAGGAGCGAGAGGAAGAGAAGCAACGUCGCACCUGCAGCCCUGCUUUCCAAAGGCUGACCUGUACCUUUCAACAUUAAAUGGCUUGACCUGAUGCGCUGUUUGAAAUGUUUCUGAAUCGUAAUCAGCACUGCUCGGGGAGCCCGCGCUCCUCUGGUAAUAAGCUGGUACCUGUUGCCCUCAAUUAUUCUUAGGUUACCAAGUACGGUUCGCCAGUCUGGAAACAUAGCCAGCUGCGAAGAGGGAGGGGGAAAACCCUCCAUGAAGGGCAAAAAGAAGUUUAAAAGGUUUAAAUGGGCUGCGCGGCAGCACGGGCAGCGCGUCGCCGGUCGCCGCUGCUGCCCCAGGACACAAAGGACGUUCUUGCUGCAGAAACGGGGAUGGCAAUCCUCUACGGGGCUCGUCGGGAUAGCUUUGCAAAGGAAUGCCCUCCGUGCUCUGGGGAAGGUGCAUCAGCCUUCUGAAGGCAGCCCUGGGAAAAACAGCCUUGAAAAAAUCUGAUGAAAACGUGCCUUUCUAAUAAAUAUAGAAAUAUACCCUUCCCGGAAUUUGGGAGUAUUGGUUCUGGCACUGGUUCAAGCCUGUCUCUCAUCUAGUGAUUGAUUUCUUUAUUUCUGUUCUCUCCUGCCAGCCCCUGGGAACGUGAUUGAGUUAAAUCUGGAGAACCUUAAAAGCGCAGUGAAUUUAUCGGGGAACGGACCGAGGGGAUUUGGGCGGAGGCAGGGCAGGGCGGUGUCUCAAGCUGUGCAAUCUCGGAAGUCUAAUUGCGUCUGCCCAUUUGGAAGAGGCUGGCUUGGGGAGGUUGGGGUAUAAGACAUGGGAUUAUUGACCCAAGGGGGAUUUAUGCAGGGGUAUCUCCCUGCUAUAAGACGUCAGUGCCUGGUGGCUGGUCAUCAGCUGGGUCUCCGUUGGCAUCAGUCGGUUCUUGCCACUGAACUUCCGAAACCCGUUUUCUGCUGUUAUGAAGGGCGGUGCAGAGCGAGCCUGCUGUGUCUGGCAGGGUAUUUUCAUACCCUUAAACUGGAUUAUACUGUACACGACUAUGUGUGGUUCUUGCUCGUUCUUUCCCCCUUAGGCCGUUGUGCUCAGGCGGACCGGCAGAGAGCCGCUGAGCGCUGGCGCGGAGGAGACGACGGUCGAUGCUGAGGACGAACAAAGAUCAAGAUGUGCAGGUGACACCGUUGCUCAUCAGACGGCAUUUACUGCGUUUUCUCUAUUUUAGUUCCAUAAUUUAAAAUUUAAAUCACUCUUGUAAUAAGCACAGUACCGCAACAGAAGGAAGUGAGGACAAUAAGCACUAUUUCUCCCUCGUGCUAAGAAUCUAAAUGGAAAAAGCAGGUGCCGCACCAACGGCUGGGCGAGGAGGGUGAGUCGCAGUUGGCAAAGCACAAAAUUCCUCAGAAGACAAGAAUCACAGGCAUCCAAAAUGCCACUGGGGAAAGCUAGAAAGCACUGUUUUCUUUCAGAUUAAGACAUUUUUACCAGCGUUUUUCAAACAGCUCGCAUGUUGGAUUUUUUGUUCAUCCUUGUUUCUCUCAGAAAAGGACAAGCUGCCACCCAGCACUAUCUGUUCUGGUGCAGGGACCGUUAUCUUGCUUUGCAGCCUGCACGGCAUCUCCUGCAGCAGAUAAAUUAAAGAGGUUGCAGAUGACGCCUGUUGGCUGAUGUGUCCAGAGCCGUGACCGACCGUGAGGAAGCGCAAGAAAUAAUUGAACGGACAGACGGUGCCGCAGAUCGCAGCAGCCUGCCAGUACCAGCCCCCAGGAGCUCUCGGCCGUCCUGGACGGGCUCCAGAGGCGUGGAAGCAAGUUCAGCCAGACACUACGGAGAAGCAGUCCAGAAAUAUCCUGUGGACAGAAGGGAUAAGGGCAAGGUGACUGUUCGGGGGGUUUACACUCAUUCCUGUCUGCUGUCAAGGCAAACCAGCUCGUUCCUAACCUUGCGGAAACGUUCACGUCUCCAGCAGAAACAGCGUGUAACGUGAAGGAGUUACGCACAGUUUAGCAGGAAACUGUAUGAUGCAUAGAAGAAAAAUAGCCUUUAAUUUUAUACUCAGUUUUAGUAGAUCGCUUCAGCUGAUCUCUUUUAUUUGGUACCUACCUGCUGACUGGUUUAACCUGAUUUUUUUUUAAUGAAGGGUUGAGCAGUGGGUAAGAUCUUUUACAAAUGUGAUUAAGCCUUGACAAAAUCAAGAUGACUAAUGCCGUGUUGCUCAGCUGAGUAGGAGAGAAUAAAUGUUAAAUGCAAUUUCAUAUCAA